rnacentral:rRNA from 1 species
GAUCAUGGCUCAGGACGAACGCUGGCGGCGUGCUUAACACAUGCAAGUCGAACGAGAGGACAAGAGAAGCUUGCUUCUUUUGGAAUCGAGUGGCAAACGGGUGAGUAACACGUAAACAACCUGCCUUCAGGAUGGGGACAACAGACGGAAACGACUGCUAAUACCGAAUACGCUUGGUAUACCGCAUGAUCUACCAAGGAAAGGGUGGCCUCUACCUGUAAGCUAUCGCCUGAAGAGGGGUUUGCG